AGAGUUUGAUCCUGGCUCAGGAUGAACGCUAGCGGCAGGCUUAAUACAUGCAAGUCGAGGGGCAGCAUGACUGUAGCAAUACAGUUGAUGGCGACCGGCAAACGGGUGCGGAACACGUACAGAACCUUCCUUCGAGCGGGGAAUAGCCCAGAGAAAUUUGGAUUAAUACCCCAUAGCAUAUUGAUAAGGCAUCUUAUUAAUAUUAAAGAUUUAUCACUUGAAGAUGGCUGUGCGGCUGAUUAGGUAGUUGGCGGGGUAACGGCCCACCAAGCCUGCGAUCAGUAACUGGUGUGAGAGCACGACCAGUCACACGGGCACUGAGACACGGGCCCGACUCCUACGGGAGGCAGCAGUAAGGAAUAUUGGUCAAUGGACGAAAGUCUGAACCAGCCAUGCCGCGUGGAGGAUGAAGGUCCUCUGGAUUGUAAACUUCUUUUAUCUGGGACGAAAAAAGGCUUUUCUAAGUCGUCUGACGGUACCAGAGAAUAAGCCCCCGAAUCCCC
rnacentral:rRNA from 1 species